CGAGUUUGAUCAUGGCUCAGAACGAACGCUGGCGGCAGGCCUAACACAUGCAAGUCGAGCGAGGUAGCAAUACCUAGCGGCGGACGGGUGAGUAACGCGUGGGAACGUACCCUUUGCUACGGAAUAGCCCCGGGAAACUGGGAGUAAUACCGUAUGUGCCCUUCGGGGGAAAGAUUUAUCGGCAAAGGAUCGGCCCGCGUUGGAUUAGGUAGUUGGUGGGGUAAUGGCCUACCAAGCCGACGAUCCAUAGCUGGUUUGAGAGGAUGAUCAGCCACACUGGGACUGAGACACGGCCCAGACUCCUACGGGAGGCAGCAGUGGGGAAUCUUAGACAAUGGGCGCAAGCCUGAUCUAGCCAUGCCGCGUGAGUGAUGAAGGCCUUAGGGUUGUAAAGCUCUUUCAGAUGGGAAGAUAAUGACGGUACCAUCAGAAGAAGCCCCGGCUAACUCCGUG
rnacentral:rRNA from 1 species